rnacentral:lncRNA from 1 species
GAAUUAGUACCAUGAAUUUUGCCGAGCUUCAGCCAGCUCUCAAUUCUCUCCCCUGCCACGACAAUAUCGGAAAAGUUGGUCACCGGACAACCAACCAUCCUUUCAGCAUAAGCCCCCUGCAGGGUCCCCGUGAAUAGAUCAGACAUUUCUCUGUCAACUAGAGGAGGUUGCACUCUUGCAGCCAGUUCUCUCCACCGCUGAGCAUACUCUUUAAAUCCUUCAUUGUU